CAAAUGUUUCUUCUAAUUCUUUUAUUGUAGAUCCAAGAUGGUUUUGAAGGAUGGACAAUUUUCACAACCAAAUUUGUCUUCUUAAUCUCAUUUUUGAGUUUCAAGCCAACCAUAGGAGAAGGUGGUAUUAUUUGCACAUUGCCAAACAGUUGCAGGUGAGUUAUCUUUUUCGAUUUCCACUACUCAUUAAUCAGUUUGGUUGGCUAGCCCCAUCAGUGACAUUUCCACUACUCAUUAAACAUUGCUUAAUGAGUGUCAGACACAUUCAUCAGUCAAAGCCCAACUCUCAAGUCUGCUUUCUCCCUAUCAAGUGAUGAUAUAUUUUGCUAUCUGGGAACAGGUUUGGGGCUGAAUGCUUCUACUACUGCUGCCAAUCUAUCUAAAGAGGAGGACCAGAUGUUUGCCUCCUGUAGAUUUUCUGAAGACAGUGCAGGCAAUGAGCUCUUUGCAUUGCUGCAAACAUUGAACGUGAUGGAAGUAUUACAACAUGUGAUACGAAAUCAUGGAAACGAAAAGAGUCAAAGCCUAUAAAAAA